rnacentral:rRNA from 1 species
GAUGAACGCUAGCUACAGGCUUAACACAUGCAAGUCGAGGGGAAACGACAUCGAAAGCUUGCUUUUGGUGGGCGUCGACCGGCGCACGGGUGAGUAACGCGUAUCCAACCUGCCCACCACUUGGGGAUAACCUUGCGAAAGUAAGACUAAUACCCAAUGAUAUCUCUAGAAGGCAUCAGAAAUGGAGUAAAGGUUUCGGCCGGUUGCGGAUGGGGAUGCGUCCGAUUAGCUGGUUGGCGGGGCAACGGCCCACCAAGGCUACGAUCAGUAGGGGUUCUGAGAGGAAGGUCCCCCCACAUUGGUACUGAGACACGGACCAAACUCCUACGGGAGGCAGCAGUGAGGAAUAUUGGUCAAUGGGCGCAAGCCUGAACCAGCCAAGUAGCGUGAGGGAUGACUGCCCUACGGGUUGUAAACCUUCUUUUGUUUGGGAAUAAAGGUGCGGGACGCGUCCGCAUUGCAUGUACCAUUUGAAUUAAGGACCGGCUAAUUCCGUGCCAG